AAAUUUCCCUUUAAACAAAGCUAACUGUUAGCACAGUGAAAGCAUCUCCAUUAUGCUAACUCAGCUAGCUAGCUUGGACCCGGACUUCAUUCAGCAGCUGCAGUGCUAAUAUUCGCUAGUAGAUAAACUAAAAUAACAGCAGGUUAAGAAAAAAAUGCAGUUUUUGCAAAAUUACGCUUGAAUAAAAUGCUUUUGCUUUCUCAUUCCAAGUUUAAACAUCAACUUUUUUGGACUUCUUGUAGCAUUUUCCUGUGAUCCAGACAAUGCUAAUGCUAACUUAGAGAGCAACACUAUUAAGAUGAGGAGAUUUAAUGUCUACAACUGACUAAGACUUUAUCUAUUCAUCACUAAGGAUGCCACUCCAAUUUCGUUAUAUUCUAGAGACACGAUGACAAAUAAAAUAAUCUUAUGUCUCAUUUCUUAGUUUUAUUUAUGUCUUGGUCCUAAACAACACAAGAGGUAAAAUAAUUUGUCAGAAGUGGGAGUUCUAAACCACCACCUCUUCAAUUUUCUGUAGCAGCUAGCUGUGCUAGCCUGUUAAAAUUAGCUUCAUAUGAACAACAGGAGCAGAUUCAGUUUCACCAGUGUUGUUUUUUUCCCAUGUGUAAUCUCAGAAAUUAUGCUACAGCAAAUAUCUUUUCAGUUGAAGUCUUUACAGUAUAUGAAACUGAAAGCAAUUUUUCUAACUUUCUCCCACAGGUAGCUGUGCUGUUGAGCCAACGCUAGCCAGUACAUAAACAUAGAUAAGAAGCAGAUAUUUUUCUUUUUCACGUUUGCAUUUCUGACAUUGUCUAAUAAGAGUCGAACUACUUUUAAUGUAUUUUUUUUGCAACUGUUCUGUAGCAGCUAGCGGUCCUGUAAUGCUAAUGUUAGCUUGACGCAAGCGGACACUGCAGGUAGUUAUUUUUAUUCAUGCAUGUCUUGAUGGUACUCCAACUGCAUUCAAAAAAUACAGAUUUCUGAAAAUCCUAAAUGGUUUUCAAACCUUUAUAUAUUUUUUUAUACAUAAAAGUUUUUUUGUUUUUUUUAAAUGUGUAUUCAGCACCAAACGCAAUGCAGAAACCAGUUUUUUGCUGCAAUAGCUGAAAACACAGCAUAAUACUAUAAUGCAGAAUGAACAACAUUUCUAAUGUUGUUCAUUCUGCACCAGAAAGGGUCAAGGCACAUAAAUCCAUCUGCUAACCGCAGUAAAAACGGCAAGAAAUGACGGAUGAUCCCUUCUGCCUGUUCAUCUGAAGCAAUGCAGCCUCCUGCCUGCCGCAGAAAGCGGAUUGAUUUGCUGCGGCGGACGUUGCAUGUUGCAGGGAGACGCAACACCGGCCGGCGGCUUUCAGCACCUUGCAGGCGUGGACCAGAACAAAAGAGGCAGCAGCAGCAGCGGCGGCACCGGAUCCCAACCGGUUCAAAGAUUUUUAAAAGCUCCGUGUUAGACAGAGAACAGAUUUAGAGAUGCGAACUAACAAAUCACAUCUGAUGAUGGAUCCACAUAGCUGCACAUGACGCAAAUGCAGCAACAUUACUCCACACUGCUGCUUCACAAACUUUUCCACCUCCCAGACAGCGCCGCGCUGCAAAGCGCCAAACUCCCAACAGCCACAGGUUUGUAAAAAAUGUCUUCGUUCUGAUUU